ACUCCUACGGGAGGCAGCAGUGGGAAUAUUGGACAAUGGGAACCGUAGCAUCAGCCAUGCCGCGCUGUGUGAAGAAGGCCUUCGGGUUGUAAAGCACUUUCAGUGGGAGGAAAGGAUUGUUGGUUAAUACCUAGCAGCUGUGACGUUACCCACAGAAGAAGCACCGGCUAACUCCGUGCCAGCAGCCGCGGUAAUACGGAGGGUGCAAGCGUUAAUCGGAAUUACUGGGCGUAAAGCGUGGCGCAGGACGGUCUGUUAAGCGAGGAUUG
rnacentral:rRNA from 1 species